GCUAACUUCGUGCCAGCAGCCGCGGUAAUACGAAGGGACCUAGCGUAGUUCGGAAUUACUGGGCUUAAAGAGUUCGUAGGUGGUUAAAAAAGUUGAUGGUGAAAUCCCAGAGCUUAACUCUGGAACUGCCAUCAAAACUUUUUAGCUAGAGUAUGAUAGAGGAAAGCAGAAUUUCUAGUGUAGAGGUGAAAUUCGUAGAUAUUAGAAAGAAUACCAAUUGCGAAGGCAGCUUUCUGGAUCAUUACUGACACUGAGGAACGAAAGCAUGGGUAGCGAAGAGGAUUAGAUACCCUCGUAGUCCAUGCCGUAAACGAUGUGUGUUAGACGUUGGGAAUUUAUUUUCAGUGUCGCAGUGAAAACAAUAAACACACCGCCUGGGGAGUACGACCGCAAGGUUAAAACUCAAAUGAAUUGACGGGGACCCGCACAAGUAGUGGAGCAUGUGGUUUAAUUCGGAGAUACGCGCAGAACCUUACCAACACUUGACAUGUUCGUCGCGACUCUAAGAGAUUAGAGUUUUCGGUUCGGCCGGACGAAACACAGGUGCUGCGUGGCUGUCGUCAGCUCGUGUCGUGAGAUGUUGGGUUAAGUCCCGCAACGAGCGCAACCCUUACUUUUAGUUGCCAUCAUUUAGUUGGGCACUCUGAAAGAACUGCCAGUGAUAAGCUGGAGGAAGGUGGGGAUGACGUCAAGUCCUCAUGGCCCUUACGUGUUGGGCUACACACGUGCUACAAUGGUAUCUACAACAGGAAGCAAAACAGCGAUGUUAAGCAAAUCCCAAAAAGAUACCUCAGUUCGGAUUGCACUCUGCAACUCGAGUGCAUGAAGCUGGAAUUACUAGUAAUCGUGGAUCAGCGUGCCACGGUGAAUACGUUCCCGGGUCUUGUACACACCGCCCGUCACACCAUGGGAGUUGUUCUACCUUAAGGCAAAG
rnacentral:rRNA from 1 species